rnacentral:rRNA from 1 species
AAGUCGUAACAAGGUUUCCGUAGGUGAACCUGCGGAAGGAUCAUUACCGAAUUGUCAACACGAGUUGUUGCUGGUCCUCAAAACGGGGGCAUGUGCACGCUCUGUUUACACAUCCACUCACACCUGUGCACCCUCUGUAGUUCUGUGGCAUGGGGGACUCUGUCCUCCUGUUGUGGUCCUACGUCUUUACACACACUCUGUAAUAAAGUCUCAUGGAAUGCAUGACGCGUUUAACGCAAUACAAUACAACUUUCAGCAACGGAUCUCUUGGCUCUCGCAUCGAUGAAGAACGCAGCGAAAUGCGAUAAGUAAUGUGAAUUGCAGAAUUCAGUGAAUCAUCGAAUCUUUGAACGCACCUUGCGCCCUUUGGCUAUUCCGAAGGGCAUGCCUGUUUGAGUAUCAUGAACACCUCAACUCUCAUGGUUUGCCAUGAUGAGCUUGGACUUUGGAGGUCUUGCCGGCCUACGGUCGGCUCCUCUCNAAUGGAUCAGCUUGCCAGUGUUUGGUGGCAUCAUGGGUGUGAUAACUAUCUACGCCUGUGGUUUUCCACCGGAUAACCUUCAGUGAUGGAGGUUCGCUGGAGCUCAUAAAUGUCUCUCCUCAGUGAAGACAGCUUUUUGAACGUUUGAUCUCAAAUCAGGUAGGACUACCCGCUGAACUUAAGCAUAUCAAUAAGCGGAGGAAAAGAAACUAACAAGGAUUCCCCUAGUAACUGCGAGUGAAGCGGGAAGAGCUCAAAUUUAAA